rnacentral:rRNA from 1 species
UACGUAGGGUGCAAGCGUUAAUCGGAAUUACUGGGCGUAAAGCGUGCGCAGGCGGUGAUGUAAGACAGGUGUGAAAUCCCCGGGCUUAACUUGGGAACUGCAUUUGUGACUGCAUCGCUGGAGUGCGGCAGAGGGGGAUGGAAUUCCGCGUGUAGCAGUGAAAUGCGUAGAUAUGCGGAGGAACACCGAUGGCGAAGGCAAUCCCCUGGGCCUGCACUGACGCUCAUGCACGAAAGCGUGGGGAGCAAACAGG